UACGUAGGGCGCAAGCGUUAGCCGGAAUUAUUGGGCGUAAAGAGCUCGUAGGCGGUUUGUCGCGUCUGCCGUGAAAGUCCGGGGCUCAACUCCGGAUCUGCGGUGGGUACGGGCAGACUAGAGUGAUGUAGGGGAGACUGGAAUUCCUGGUGUAGCGGUGAAAUGCGCAGAUAUCAGGAGGAACACCGAUGGCGAAGGCAGGUCUCUGGGCAUUAACUGACGCUGAGGAGCGAAAGCAUGGGGAGCGAACAGG
rnacentral:rRNA from 1 species